rnacentral:rRNA from 1 species
UCUGCCCUUCGAUGGGGAAUAACCUCGCGAAAGCGAGGCUAAUUCCGCAUAACAUUCCGAUGGUUCCGAUCAAUGGACUCAAAGCCGUAAGGCGUCGGAGGAGGAGCUCGCGCACGAUUAGCUAGUUGGUGAGGUAACGGCUCACCAAGGCUAUGAUCGUUAGCUGGUCUGAGAGGAUGGCCAGCCACACUGGAACUGAGACACGGUCCAG